UGUCUCUUAGGUUUAUCUUAUCUGGUUAAUGGGUUAUUCAGCUCCCUUGCUUCUCCCCAAAAAUGAGCCUGAAGAGGAAAGGAAGACACCAGUGGCUUU
ensembl:misc_RNA